rnacentral:lncRNA from 10 species
AGUGAGUACAGCUGAAGGAGCCGGGAAGCAGAAAGUAUAUGCGUCAGAUAUGAGGAAGAAAAUAUAUUUUGGAAGUUAUGAGAAAUGUAGAGAGUGAGUUGAGCAUAGUUUGUGAUUUUUAGGGCCUCUAAAAGUAUUAAAGCAGCGGCAGCCGCUGCACGCAGACAUGAGGGCUAGGCUAAAACAGCAAGGUCAAGUUGUUUGGACAGAAAGGCUACAGGGUGCGGUCCUGGCUCUUCUGUAAGAAUUCUGACCCUUACACUCCACUGUGAGUUACCUAAAGCUCGGCGUCCGUGAUGGUCUACGGGGCUUCUGAGGUGAUCAGGCAGCGUCGGUCUUCAGCCGGCAAGCCAAGAAGGAGUCAGUCAGAGAGCCUUGGGCCAGAGUUCCAGGGGCUCUGGGAGUGGCUGCCAGGUGACUCCUGGGGGAGGAGGUUCUGGAGGAACGCCUGGCUGCUAUGGUUCAGGCGUUUGGAAAUUCUUGUGUGCUGGAGAUGUGUCUGGGCUUUGUCUCACAGUGGAGGCAAGGAAUUGCAACUUUUUUUCUGUUAUUGCACACCUUGAAGGUGAGGUUAAUUAAGUCCUGUUGUGGGGUUUGAGGGCCAAAUUCCAGUUUUUGGAGUUUUAUUUAAUGUUGGG